CAGUUGGCGAAAUAAGAGGGAAAGGGAUAAGGGAGGGUCGACCGGCGAUCGGUGACAACAAGGCAUCAUCGUUGAUUCUAUAUAUGUCCAUAUCGACAUGGGCGAUAACACCCUCUCCCCCGCCGCCACCCCCUCCCAUGGGCAUACAUGUGAGCCUUAUCAGGGUUUCAGAGCUAGGGAAGAGGGGGGAGGUGACGAUUAUGGGCAACCAAAGCAGGAGCAGUGGGAGGAGGAUGCGGCGCAUGGAAGAUGGGUAGAGGCGGCGUCAAGAAGGAGGUAGAGUUGUGAAUCAAGAUGCUAUGGCGUCAAUGGAUCUCAUGCGGUGCGGAGAAGAAACAAGGACAAUAAUUGUGAUCGGACGAACUCCAUCAUCGAGCAGAACCGGGGCGAGCUCUAGCCCUACCCACCUGCGUCCAGCGCAGGAAAUGUCGUCAUCGGACGACGAAAGUCUCUCGGGGGAGUGCGACUGGUGCCACGACGGU